AUUGAACGCUGGCGGCAUGCCUUACACAUGCAAGUCGAACGGCAGCACGGGUGCUUGCACCUGGUGGCGAGUGGCGAACGGGUGAGUAAUACAUCGGAACAUGUCCUGUAGUGGGGGAUAGCCCGGCGAAAGCCGGAUUAAUACCGCAUACGAUCUACGGAUGAAAGCGGGGGACCUUCGGGCCUCGCGCUAUAGGGUUGGCCGAUGGCUGAUUAGCUAGUUGGUGGGGUAAAGGCCUACCAAGGCGACGAUCAGUAGCUGGUCUGAGAGGACGACCAGCCACACUGGGACUGAGACACGGCCCAGACUCCUACGGGAGGCAGCAGUGGGGAAUUUUGGACAAUGGGCGAAAGCCUGAUCCAGCAAUGCCGCGUGUGUGAAGAAGGCCUUCGGGUUGUAAAGUACUUUUGUCCGGAAAGAAAUCCUUGGCCCUAAUACGGUCGGGGGAUGACGGUACCGGAAGAAUAAGCACCGGCUAACUACGUG
rnacentral:rRNA from 1 species